rnacentral:lncRNA from 11 species
GUGAGACUGUGCUGUGUGUCAGUCGCCGCAGAGGAAGGUGGCGGAGGAAGGGAACGGGUCUGGUGCCCCACAAGGAGGGCUGAAGAUGGGAAUGAGGCCACAGAAAGGUUGCAAAGUGUCACAUACCAAUGCUGCACCCCAGACAGUGAGGAAAUUAUUGGAGCGAAAAAGACAACAGCAGCCAGUGCCAGGGGAGAACACUAGAUCGGUGAGUCAUCCACUGAAGCAAGUUAUGAUUCGCUCUCCUAUCCA